rnacentral:lncRNA from 1 species
CGAGGAGGGGCUUAGGCGUCCACAUCCCUGGCUUCGAAGGAGCCAGACGUUUGGAUAUAAUGGAAGAGCGUGUCAGGAGUGGCUUCCGUUCCUGUCUCCUUCAGCAUCCUGAUGGCGUACACUGUGGCUCUGGCUAACUCCUACGGACGCCUCAUCUCUGAGCUCAAACGUCAGAGAGAGACGGAGGCGCAGAAUAAAGUCUUCCUGGCACGGCGCGCUGUGGCGCUGACCUCCACCAAACCGGCUCUUUGACCCCCGCAGCCCACGUCCCGCUUUCAGACCCCAGGCCCAUUGUAAGCCUAGGUCACAACAUCUGUAAACUAGGAGAACUGGAGAAGACUCCACGCCCUUCCAGCUUUGGUAUCUGGAGAUUUCCAGGGCCCCUCGCCGCCACGUCCCUGACUCUCGGGUGAUCUUCCUUGUAUCAAUAAAUACAGCCGAGGUUGCUGA